GACUAAGUUCGCGCGCGGAGGAGGAGCGGAGCGCGCGGGCUGCGCAGGCUGCGCAGGCGGGAGCCGGGGACGCGCAGCGCCGCCUCCGAGCCGCCCUUACCCGGAUCGCUCCGCCACCCGGCCCGAGAGUCCACCCGGCCUUGGGACGAACCGCGGGGGCCGGUGACUCACCCUCCUGCUGCACACAAAGCGCAGCUGCCACCUCCCGGAGCCAACGCCAUGCGGCCGCCCGGAUGCACUCGCCCAGCCUGGCAUCCGCGGUGCAUGGCAGCCACACGCCUCGCCAGGAGCUGGGGCUGCAUUCCAGAAACCCAGGAGCCGGGCCUUAUGGCCGUUCCCCAGGCGCUCCACCCCAGCAGAAGACCCCUGCCUUCUCACGUGUGCACCCCUGAGAAACUUGUUAUUGACACAACUUACUCUACCAGGAAGGGUGGGGUGUGCCGCGCAGAGCCUGCCUUAGUGAAGUCCCUUUAACGCUCUUUAAGUCGAGUGACUGGAAAGGUUGUAGGGCCCCUGGGAAGGAGGAGAAACUAAGCAGCUUCUGGGCCUCCAAUACCAUCUUUUUCUUUCCAGUGUCUUUAUCUUCAGCGUGAGGUGACAAGAUAGAGGGAGUACACAUAAUAGUAUUUCAUUGAGGAUGGUCACCUGUCCCCCAUCCACAUUCUUCUCCUGUUAAUGGCCCUGUAUUUGAAGAGUAACAGUGUGCCUUGCAAGUUAAGCAAAAAUUUAAUCCAAAUUCAGAACUCUGGGCUAUUUAAUAGUUCUAUCCUCCUCCUCGAAUCUUUAACUCCCCCACACCCUCCCUGUUCUGUUUUAAGCUCAGUCUUUGUCCAGGUUAUUUCUAGCACAAGGAUUCAAUUCAGCAAGAUUUGUAUCUCUUAGUUGCUAUGGUGUUCCCAUCCCUAGGUAACAAAACACUCCCAGAGGAGUAAAAGAAGACAGCAUUUGAGUCACCUGAUCAGUUGGGCACCCAAUACCUCCACACACUACGAAGGUGUGGAAGACUGCGCUGUAUCCAGUAGCGACCAGUCAUAUCAGAACUCCAGCCCGAACUGCCCUGGAAGUCACUGCUAUACCCGGUCCUUGUCCAAUUCACUCUGAGUGGCAGUUGCAUUGAGUCUGAAGCAAACAUUGAAAACACUGUGAGGACUAACGGCUCCACAGCUAAGAGCACAGACUGUUCUUGCAGAAGACCAGAAUUCUGUUCACAGCUGCCGACAACUCCAGCUCCAAACGUUCUGACACCCUCUUCUGGCCUCCAAAGGCAUCCACACAUAUAUGCACCUACAUAUAUGUGCUCCCACACACAUGUGCACCUACAUAUAUGUGCUCCCCCGCACACGUGCACCCACAUACGUGGCACACACACUGCACACACACACAUCUUUUUUUUUUAAUUCUUUCAUUUGAACAUACAACAUAUUGUCAUUAAAUUGUGUGUAUGACCUUGUGUACACAUUUGUAAUUCUAGAUGCUCCAGGUGCAUCAUGGCCUCAGCUGCUCUCAAAUCUGAAACCUGGCACAUCAGCAUCAUCUUGGCCCUUAAAGAACAUAUUUGGUGUCUUCCUCUUGCUUAUCUGCUCUGGACGUCAUCUUAAAAUGGUGGUUCAUCUUCUCGGCUCUUCAGACAAGCUGUAGAUUAGAGAAGCCAAAAUAAAAUGAUCUAAUUUUC